AUGCCUCCACGUACAGGGAAACAAACAGUCUUAAAGACUCAGAGAGGCCCCCGGAUACACACGGACCCACACAGGCACCUCCCCAGACAACACCACACUCGCAGAGGCGCACAGACGCCCUGGCACCCGCGUACCCAGGAAGGCUCCGGCUCCGGCGCCCGCGCCCUGGGGGGCAGCUCGCUGCGGGGUUUGUGCACACGUCCCCGGGGCAGCGCCACCCAGUCUGCAGGCCCAGAGGCUCCCCAGGGGCUCGGCCUGGCGCCCCCCAGCCGCCCCUCCCUCCCUCGGAGAGGGAGAGGGCCUGCCCCUGUCUCCUCCCCGUCCCCCUCUGCCCCUCUCUCCCCCCUCUCUCCAUCCCCUCUUCCCCUCUGCCCCUCUCCUCCCUCUGUUCCUGUCUCCCCCUGUCCCCCUCUUCCUCCCUCUCCCCCCUCCCUCCCUCCACCUCCUGUCUCCCUCUGCCCCUCUGCCCCCUGCCCCUCUCCCUCUCUGCCCCUCUCCCCGUCUCCUCCCCCUCUGCCCCUCUCCAUCCCCUCUCUCCCCCUCUGCCUCUCCCCCCUCUGCCCCUCUCCAUCCCCUCUCUCUCUCUCUGCCUCUCCCCCUUCUGCCCCUCUCCAUCCCCUCUCCCCCCUCCAUCCCCUCUCCCCCUCUCCAUCCCCUCUCCCCCUUCUGCCCCUCUUCAUCCCCUCUCCCCCUCCUCCCCCCUUCUGCCCCUCUCCAUCCCCUCUCCCACCCCCCCCGCCCCUCUCCAUCCCCUCUCCUUUCCUCCUCCUCCUCCUCCUCCUCCUCGUCCUCCUCCGCCUGAAGCUGUACAAAACCCUCCUCCGCGGGGCCGGGCCGCGCGCUCCGCCCCCCGCCCCCGCCCCGCCCCCGCCCUGCGCCGCUCCCCAGUCCCCGCCGCCCGCCCGGCCAGGCCCCGCCCCCCGCGCAGCCCGGCCCCCGGCUCCCCGCCCCGACACCGCGGCGCUCGCGGACUCCCCGGUACAGUCGCCGCCGCCUGGCUCCGGGUCCCCACGGCUGCGAGCCCAUCGCGCGCGGGGGGCAGGCGGGCGAGCGCCGGGGAGCCGGGGAGCCGGGAGGCCGGGGGAGGAGCGACCGCCCCCGGGGCCGGGAUCCCUGCCUCCGCGCUCGGGGCCGCCGAAGGGGACUUGA
rnacentral:lncRNA from 1 species